rnacentral:rRNA from 1 species
GAUGAACGCUGGCGGCGUGCCUAAUACAUGCAAGUCGAGCGAACAGAUGAGGAGCUUGCUCCUCUGACGUUAGCGGCGGACGGGUGAGUAACACGUGGAUAACCUACCUAUAAGACUGGGAUAACUUCGGGAAACCGGAGCUAAUACCGGAUAAUAUAUUGAACCGCAUGGUUCAAUAGUGAAAGACGGUUUUGCUGUCACUUAUAGAUGGAUCCGCGCCGCAUUAGCUAGUUGGUAAGGUAACGGCUUACCAAGGCAACGAUGCGUAGCCGACCUGAGAGGGUGAUCGGCCACACUGGAACUGAGACACGGUCCAGACUCCUACGGGAGGCAGCAGUAGGGAAUCUUCCGCAAUGGGCGAAAGCCUGACGGAGCAACGCCGCGUGAGUGAUGAAGGUCUUCGGAUCGUAAAACGCUGUUAUUAGGGAAGAACUAAUGUGUAAGUAACUAUGCACGUCUUGACGGUACCUAAUCAGAAAGCCACGGCUAACUACGUG